rnacentral:lncRNA from 1 species
UUGUAUGUACUUGUGUGAUGCGAGUAGAAGGAUCGCAGUUUGAGGGAUUCGAACAUCAAGCCUUUGGGGACUUUGAGCAGUAGGAGUAAGUUCAGUAAGGCAAGUUGUGUCCUUGAUCACAGUUUGAACCUAUGCAACAUUUACUUUUACGUUAAAUAACCUAUGCUAUGCACUUUUAUGAUUGAACAUGAUGGGUCCUAUUUAAGGUGUGCCUAGUUUUAUUCCUAUGCCUUGAUCAACUUGGAUUUACUUUAAUGUUAGGUAGUUCAUGCUUAGUUGCUCUAAUCAGGUAUGGUGGUAUUAAUGAACCAACGAUUAAACUUAUUUUAUUUAUGCUAUACCUUUCAUUAAUACAAAAUCACUAUACUUAAUUGGAACAUGGAGAACCACCUAGGAAAACAGUGC